rfam:Ictidomys tridecemlineatus contig026683, whole genome shotgun sequence.
AUCCUUUUCAGGUCAUAGGUGUGAUGACUGUGUAUUCACACUGUUGUAUCAGAUGUGCCUCUCUACAAACUUGUUAUAAUGUCAGCACAUUACCCAUCCUAUU